rnacentral:rRNA from 1 species
GACGAACGCGGGCGGCGUGCUUAACACAUGCAAGUCGAACGCUGAAGGCCCAGCUUGCUGGGUUGGAUGAGUGGCGAACGGGUGAGUAACACGUGAGUAACCUGCCCCCUUCUUUGGGAUAACGGUCGGAAACGGCUGCUAAUACCGGGUAUUCACUGUCCUUCGCAUGGGGGGUGGUGGAAAGGUUUUUUCUGGUGGGGGAUGGGCCCGCGGCCUAUCAGCUUGUUGGUGGGGUGAUGGCUUACCAAGGCUUUGACGGGUAACCGGCCUGAGAGGGUGACCGGUCACAUUGGGACUGAGAUACGGCCCAGACUCCUACGGGAGGCAGCAGUGGGGAAUAUUGCACAAUGGGCGAAAGCCUGAUGCAGCGACGCCGCGUGAGGGAUGGAGGCCUUCGGGUUGUAAACCUCUUUCGCUCAUGGUCAAGCCGCAACUUUGGGUUG